rnacentral:tRNA from 1 species
GGGGAGAUUCCAGAGCGGCCAAAUGGGGCAGACUGUAAAUCUGUUGUCUUACGACUUCGCAGGUUCGAAUCCUGCUCUCCCCA